rnacentral:ncRNA from 1 species
CUUAUAAAGUGCCUAUUAGGAUAUAUAAUAUGUAUCUUUUUAAAUUAUUACUGAUAUAGAUUUAUUUAGCCUUAAAAAUAUUAUUUUAAUAAGUUUUAUUUAUUUAAAAGUUUGAUUCUCGCUUUUAUUUUAUUUAUAACUGAAUUAUCUAUAAGCAUUGAAGUAAAAUGAUUAGAAUAGUGGCUGCAGUUACACAAUUAAAAUUAAAAUAAGAUUGAGAAUAAAUAGUUUAAACAUAUAUUAAUUCUUAAAUAAUUAUUUUAAGGUAAAAUUAAUAAAUUUUAAUUACAACAGAUUUAAUUAUAAUAAAUAAAUUAUAAAAGAGUUUUAUAUAAACCCGGAUUAGAUACCCGGUUAUUCCUAUGUAUAAUUUAUAUCUAUAGUGAUUUAAACUAAAAGUUUGGCGGUAUUUUAACUUUAUAGAGGAACUUGUCAUUUAAUAGAUAAUCCUCAGAAAGUAAACAAUAUUUAAGUUUAUAUACCGCUGUCGAAAAAAUCUACUUAAAAGAAUUUAGGUUUGAAUAUUAUUAUUUACAGGACGUCAAGUCAAGGUGCAGCAAAUAAUAGUGGAUUAGAUGAGUUACAAUAAUAAGUAAUUAUACGAAAUUUGAUUUGGACUGAUUCAAGAAAGGUGGAUUUAUAUGUAAAUAAAAAUUAAGUUUUUUUGAUAAAAAGCACUAAAAUAUGCACAUAUCGCCCGUCACUCUCGACUAAAAGAAGGGAUAAGUCAUAACAUAGUAGUUAUACUGGAAAGUGUGGCUAGAUUGUCAGGGC